rnacentral:lncRNA from 1 species
UCAAGUGAUCCUCCAGCCUCAGCCUUCCAAUGUGAUGGGAUUAUAGGUAUGAGCCACUGCACCCUGCCAGGAAAGUUGUUGAAAAAGACUAGCAUGUUGGUGUGUGUUGGCAGCUCCUCAGAUCUUUCAGUAUGGGAUAUAAAGGGGUUGUAAUUGAUUGGUUGGAAAUAAUCAGUGUGCAAACAACAAUGGAAAUGGAAGAGAAUACAUCUUGGUAAUAAAAUCUCUGUCUGUCCAUGGCCUAUAAUAUAAAUUGCAUAAAUUUCUAGUAAUUUGAUAUCUUGCAAUGUUGUAAAAAUCAACUACUUUUAUACUCCAAAUAAUAGGGAAACAAUGAUCAUCUAGAGCCCUUGUCAAGGGUCUCCUAUUGAGAGUCCUUAGACAGUGUGACACAUCUCUAUGGCAAAGAUCAGAUAUAAUAUGUUACAUUUACACAAGUAACAGACUUCUGGCUCUCCUCCAACUCAGGUAUACUCUUCUGCCGAGAGACUGUACUUCUCAGCCUCCCUUGUGGCUAGGUGUGCCAUGUGACUAAGUGCUCAUGAUUGAGAUGAUGUUCACCUUUGGAACCUAGCCACUAUACCGUGAGGAAGUGCAGACCACAUGGAGCCACCAUGUAUAGCUGCUCCAUUCAACAGCCCUUGCUAAGUUCUCAGAAAACAGUCUGUAUCAAUUGUUAAGAUAUGUAAAUAAACAAGCUACUGUAUAGCUCAAGUGUUUCACAAGGCAACGCUGGAAUAAGGAAGGCAGAAAUUUGAACCUGGAUGUCUCUGGAGCAGAGUUCCCUAUCACUUUGGGCUGUUUUCCCUCUUCUUGAACUUUAGGAGUGAGAAAUAAGUGUCUAUCUUAUGAAAACAACUGAAUUUGGGGAUCUCUAAAAUAGUGGUAAGAAAUAAGAUUAAAGCUUUUAUAGCCUGAUUCCUGCUGUCAGAGUUCUGAGAAACAGAACUUUGCCCAUAUCUUACUUUAUACCCCAAUGCCUUGUAAUUAUGAUUUAAUUAAUUAGCAAUUUUUAUUAGAAAUAUAUUCACUUAGAAAAUAUGCUUUGACUUCCCACCAUAUAGCAGAGUCUGGUUCUUGCUGCUGUGAAAAGGAUAAGGAAGAAGCUAUGCAUGAUCUUUGUCCUUGUAUUACUUUCCUAUUGCUGCUGUAACAAAAUGCCACAAACUUUGUGGCUUAAAACAGCACACAUUAAUUCUCUUAGGAAAAAAAUUAGAGUUCUGGAGGUUGGAGUUUAAAAAUCAAAGUGUUGGUUGGAUUGAGUUACUCUUGGAGGCUUGUGGAGUAAUCCAUUUCCUUGCCUUUUCCAGCUUCUAGGGACUGCUUGAAUUCCUUGACUCACAGUGCCUCACACCAACCUCUGGUUCUAUUGAAACUUUGUCCGGCCUCCUCCCAACCUGCCGUCUCAACCUCUAGUUUCCCUCUUAUAAGGACCUUUGUAAUUGUGAUUACAUCACACUCACCUGGAUAAUUCAGGAAAAUCUCAUCAUCUCAAGAUCCUUAACACAAUAAAAUCUGCAAAUUCCCUUUUACCAUGCAAGUUUGAGCUGAGCUUUUGCUUGCCAUCCACCACUGCUGUUUGCCGCCGUCCCAGAUCUGCCAUUGACUUCCACCCCUCCAGAUCCGGCAGUGUGUCCGCUGCACUCCUGAUCCAGCGAGGCACCCAUUGCUGCUCCUGAUCAGGCUAAAGGCUCGUCAUUGUUGCUGAACAGCUAAGUGUCCAGGGUCAUCCUAAUUGAGCUGAACACUGGUCGCUGGGUUCCAUGGUUCUCUUCCAUGACCUAUGGCUUCUAAUAGAGCUAUAACAC